rnacentral:rRNA from 1 species
GAUGAACGCUGGCGGCGUGCCUAAUACAUGCAAGUCGAGCGAACGGACGAGAAGCUUGCUUCUCUGAUGUUAGCGGCGGACGGGUGAGUAACACGUGGAUAACCUACCUAUAAGACUGGGAUAACUUCGGGAAACCGGAGCUAAUACCGGAUAAUAUUUUGAACCGCAUGGUUCAAAAGUGAAAGACGGUCUUGCUGUCACUUAUAGAUGGAUCCGCGCUGCAUUAGCUAGUUGGUAAGGUAACGGCUUACCAAGGCAACGAUGCAAAGCCGACCUGAGAGGGUGAUCGGCCACACUGGAACUGAGACACGGUCCAGACUCCUACGGGAGGCAGCAGUAGGGAAUCUUCCGCAAUGGGCGAAAGCCUGACGGAGCAACGCCGCGUGAGUGAUGAAGGUCUUCGGAUCGUAAAACUCUGUUAUUAGGGAAGAACAUAUGUGUAAGUAACUGUGCACAUCUUGACGGUACCUAAUCAGAAAGCCACGGCUAACUACGUG